AGAGUUUGAUCAUGGCUCAGGACGAACGCUGGCGGCGUGCCUAAUACAUGCAAGUAGAACGCUGAAGGGAGGAGCUUGCUCUUCUUGGAUGAGUUGCGAACGGGUGAGUAACGCGUAGGUAACCUGCCUUGUAGCGGGGGAUAACUAUUGGAAACGAUAGCUAAUACCGCGUAACAAUGGAUGACACAUGUCAUUUAUUUGAAAGGGGCAAUUGUUCCACUACAAGAUGGACCUGCGUUGUAUUAGCUAGUAGGUGAGGUAAUGGCUCACCUAGGCGACGAUACAUAGCCGACCUGAGAGGGUGAUCGGCCACACUGGGACUGAGACACGGCCCAGACUCCUACGGGAGGCAGCAGUAGGGAAUCUUCGGCAAUGGGGGCAACCCUGACCGAGCAACGCCGCGUGAGUGAAGAAGGUUUUCGGAUCGUAAAGCUCUGUUGUAAGUCAAGAACGGGUGUGAGAGUGGAAAGUUCACACUGUGACGGUAGCUUACCAGAAAGGGACGGCUAACUACGUGCCAGCAGCCGCGGUAAUACGUAGGUCCCGAGCGUUGUCCGGAUUUAUUGGGCGUAAAGCGAGCGCAGGCGGUUUGAUAAGUCUGAAGUUAAAGGCUGUGGCUCAACCAUAGUUCGCUUUGGAAACUGUCAAACUUGAGUGCAGAAGGGGAGAGUGGAAUUCCAUGUGUAGCGGUGAAAUGCGUAGAUAUAUGGAGGAACACCGGUGGCGAAAGCGGCUCUCUGGUCUGUAACUGACGCUGAGGCUCGAAAGCGUGGGGAGCGAACAGGAUUAGAUACCCUGGUAGUCCACGCCGUAAACGAUGAGUGCUAGGUGUUGGAUCCUUUCCGGGAUUCAGUGCCGCAGCUAACGCAUUAAGCACUCCGCCUGGGGAGUACGACCGCAAGGUUGAAACUCAAAGGAAUUGACGGGGGCCCGCACAAGCGGUGGAGCAUGUGGUUUAAUUCGAAGCAACGCGAAGAACCUUACCAGGUCUUGACAUCCCGAUGCUAUUUCUAGAGAUAGAAAGUUACUUCGGUACAUCGGUGACAGGUGGUGCAUGGUUGUCGUCAGCUCGUGUCGUGAGAUGUUGGGUUAAGUCCCGCAACGAGCGCAACCCCUAUUGUUAGUUGCCAUCAUUCAGUUGGGCACUCUAGCGAGACUGCCGGUAAUAAACCGGAGGAAGGUGGGGAUGACGUCGAAUCAUCAUGCCCCUUAUGACCUGGGCUACACACGUGCUACAAUGGUUGGUACAACGAGUUGCGAGUCGGUGACGGCGAGCUAAUCUCUUAAAGCCAAUCUCAGUUCGGAUUGUAGGCUGCAACUCGCCUACAUGAAGUCGGAAUCGCUAGUAAUCGCGGAUCAGCACGCCGCGGUGAAUACGUUCCCGGGCCUUGUACACACCGCCCGUCACACCACGAGAGUUUGUAACACCCGAAGUCGGUGAGGUAACCUUUUGGAGCCAGCCGCCUAAGGUGGGACAGAUGAUUGGGGUGAAGUCGUAACAAGGUA
rnacentral:rRNA from 1 species